GACGAGGGACCUAGCGUUGUUCGGAAUCAUUGGGCGUAAAGCGCGUGUAGGCGGUCCGGUAAGUCCGCUGUGAAAGUCGGGGGCUCAACCCUCGGAUGCCGGUGGAUACUGUCGGGCUUGAGUACGGAAGAGGCGAGUGGAAUUCCUGGUGUAGCGGUGAAAUGCGCAGAUAUCAGGAGGAACACCAAUUGCGAAGGCAGCUCGCUGGGACGUUACUGACGCUGAGACGCGAAAGCGUGGGGAGCAAACAGG
rnacentral:rRNA from 1 species